GACAGAGGUGCCGAGCGUUAGGCGGAAUCACUGGGCUUAAAGCGUGUGUAGGCGGACUUCUAAGUACCUUGUGAAAUCCCAUGGCUCAACCAUGGAACUGCUUGGUAUACUGGUUGUCUUGAGCCACUUAGGGGCAGUCGGAACAGAUGGUGGAGCGGUGAAAUGCGUAGAUAUCAGGAAGAACACCCGUGGCGAAGGCGGCUCUCUGGAACGCAACUGACGCUGAGACGCGAAAAGCGUGGGGAGCAAACAGG
rnacentral:rRNA from 1 species